AUUCUUUAAAAAAAGAGAGGUUAAAAAAAAGCAUUUCCCUUGAUCAGGAGGGAAAAGAUUCUCAUGAUCUUUACAAAAAUAUAAUUAAGGCAUUGCCACCUACCCUAUAGCAUCUAACCAUACUGUUAU